CAGUAGCCGCGGUAAGACAGAGGAUGCAAGCGUUAAUCGGAAUUACUGGGCGUAAAGCGCGCGUAGGUGGUUUGUUAAGUUGGAUGUGAAAUCCCCGGGCUCAACCUGGGAACUGCAUCCAAAACUGGCAAGCUAGAGUAUGGUAGAGGGUGGUGGAAUUUCCUGUGUAGCGGUGAAAUGCGUAGAUAUAGGAAGGAACACCAGUGGCGAAGGCGACCACCUGGACUGAUACUGACACUGAGGUGCGAAAGCGUGGGGAGCAAACAGGAUUAGAUACCCCUGUAGUCCCUGUCUCUUAUAA
rnacentral:rRNA from 1 species